rnacentral:rRNA from 1 species
GACGAAGGGGGCUAGCGUUGUUCGGAAUCACUGGGCGUAAAGGCGCGUAGGCGGCCUGAUAAGUAGGGGGUGAAAUCCUGCGGCUUAACCGCAGGGCUGCCUUCUAAACUGUCGGGCUAGAGCACGGUAGAGGCAGAUGGAAUUCCCGGUGUACGCGGUGGAAUGCGUAGAGAUCGGGAAGAACAUCAGUGGCGAAGGCGG